rnacentral:rRNA from 1 species
UACGUAGGCAGCGAGCGUUGUUCGGAGUUACUGGGCGUAAAGAGUGCGUAGGCGGUUUUCUAAGUUUGGUGUGAAAUCUCCCGGCUUAACUGGGAGGGUGCGCCGAAGACUGGAAGGCUUGAGUAUGGGAGAGGUAAGCGGAAUUCCUGGUGUAGCGGUGAAAUGCGUAGAUAUCAGGAGGAACACCUGCGGUGUAGACGGCUUACUGGACCAUCACUGACGCUGAGGAGCGAAAGCGUGGGGAGCAAACAGG